rnacentral:rRNA from 1 species
AGAGUUUGAUCCUGGCUCAGGACGAACGCUGGCGGCGUGCCUAACACAUGCAAGUCGAACGUGAUUGGAAGCUUGCUUCCAUGAAAGUGGCGCACGGGUGAGUAACGCGUAGAUAAUCUACCUGAUGAUCCGGGAUAACACUUCGAAAGGGGUGCUAAUACCUGAUAAGCCCACGGAGUCUUUGGACUCUGCGGGAAAAGGGGGGGACCUUCGGGCCUUCCGUCAUCAGAUGAGUCUGCGUACCAUUAGCUAGUUGGUAGGGUAAAGGCCUACCAAGGCGACGAUGGUUAGCUGGUCUGAGAGGAUGAUCAGCCACACUGGAACUGAGACACGGUCCAGACUCCUACGGGAGGCAGCAGUGGGGAAUUUUGCGCAAUGGGGGAAACCCUGACGCAGCAACGCCGCGUGAGUGAUGAAGGCCCUUGGGUCGUAAAGCUCUGACAGAGGGAAAGAAGUGUAGAGUGGCUAAUAUCCACAUUACUUGACGGUACCCUCAAAGGAAGCACCGGCUAACUCCGUGCCAGCAGCCGCGGUAAUA